AUCCUUUGUCAUUCAAAAAUUAAGCAAAGUUGGGCCUGGGCAUUACUUGAAUGGGAAACUGCCUGAGCAUGCUGGAUGCUAUGGAUU
rnacentral:rRNA from 1 species